UACAGAGGAUGCAAGCGUUAUCCGGAAUGAUUGGGCGUAAAGCGUCUGUAGGUGGCUUUUUAAGUCCGCCGUCAAAUCCCAGGGCUCAACUCUGGACAGGCGGUGGAAACUACCAAGCUGGAGUACGGUAGGGGCAGAGGGAAUUUCCGGUGGAGCGGUGAAAUGCGCAGAUAUCAGGAGGAACACCGGUGGCGAAGGCGGGUCUCUGGGCCGAAACUGACGCUGAGGAGCGAAAGCGUGGGGAGCAAACAGG
rnacentral:rRNA from 1 species